GUGACGAGUGGCGGACGGGUGAGUAAUGUCUGGGAAACUGCCUGAUGGAGGGGGAUAACUACUGGAAACGGUAGCUAAUACCGCAUAACGUCGCAAGACCAAAGAGGGGGACCUUCGGGCCUCUUGCCAUCAGAUGUGCCCAGAUGGGAUUAGCUAGUAGGUGGGGUAACGGCUCACCUAGGCGACGAUCCCUAGCUGGUCUGAGAGGAUGACCAGCCACACUGGAACUGAGACACGGUCCAGACUCCUACGGGAGGCAGCAGUGGGGAAUAUUGCACAAUGGGCGCAAGCCUGAUGCAGCCAUGCCGCGUGUAUGAAGAAGGCCUUCGGGUUGUAAAGUACUUUCAGCGGGGAGGAAGGUGUUGUGGUUAAUAACCACAGCAAUUGACGUUACCCGCAGAAGAAGCACCGGCUAACUCCGUGCCAGCAGCCGCGGUAAUACGGAGGGUGCAAGCGUUAAUCGGAAUUACUGGGCGUAAAGCGCACGCAGGCGGUCUGUCAAGUCGGAUGUGAAAUCCCCGGGCUCAACCUGGGAACUGCAUUCGAAACUGGCAGGCUGGAGUCUUGUAGAG
rnacentral:rRNA from 1 species